AUUGAACGCUGGCGGCAUGCCUUACACAUGCAAGUCGAACGGCAACACGGGGGCAACCCUGGUGGCGAGUGGCGAACGGGUGAGUAAUACAUAGGAACGUAUCCUGAAAUGGGGGAUAGCUCGGCGAAAGCCGGAUUAAUACCGCAUACGAUCUACGGAUGAAAGCAGGGGAUUCGCAAGAACCUUGCGUUUCUGGAGCGGCCUAUGUCUGAUUAGCUAGUUGGCGGGGAAAAGCCCACCAAGGCGACGAUCAGUAGCUGGUCUGAGAGGAUGAUCAGCCACACUGGGACUGAGACA
rnacentral:rRNA from 1 species